UUGAACGCUGGCGGCAGGCCUAACACAUGCAAGUCGAGCGGAUGAAGGGAGCUUGCUCCUGGAUUCAGCGGCGGACGGGUGAGUAAUGCCUAGGAAUCUGCCUGGUAGUGGGGGAUAACGUCCGGAAACGGGCGCUAAUACCGCAUACGUCCUGAGGGAGAAAGUGGGGGAUCUUCGGACCUCACGCUAUCAGAUGAGCCUAGGUCGGAUUAGCUAGUUGGUGGGGUAAAGGCCUACCAAGGCGACGAUCCGUAACUGGUCUGAGAGGAUGAUCAGUCACACUGGAACUGAGACACGGUCCAGACUCCUACGGGAGGCAGCAGUGGGGAAUAUUGGACAAUGGGCGAAAGCCUGAUCCAGCCAUGCCGCGUGUGUGAAGAAGGUCUUCGGAUUGUAAAGCACUUUAAGUUGGGAGGAAGGGCAGUAAGUUAACACCUUGCUGUUUUGACGUUACCAACAGAAUAAGCACCGGCUAACUUCGUG
rnacentral:rRNA from 1 species